GACGAACGCUGGCGGCGUGCUUAACACAUGCAAGUCGAACGGAAAGGCCUCUUUCGGGGGGUACUCGAGUGGCGAACGGGUGAGUAACACGUGAGUAUCCUGCCCUUGACUUUGGGAUAACUUCAGGAAACUGGGGCUAAUACCGGAUAGGAGCUCCUGCUGCAUGGUGGGGGUUGGAAAGUUUCGGGGGGUGGGGAUGGACUCGCGGGUCAUCAGCUUGUUGGUGGGGUAGUGGGUUACCAAGGCUUUGACGGGUAGCCCGGCUGGGAGGGUGACCGGGCACAAUGGGACUGGGGUAAGGCCCAGGCUCCUACGGGAGGCAACAGUGGGGGAUAUUGCACAAAGGGGGGGAGCCUGAUGCAGCAACGCCGUGGGGGGGGUGACGGGCUUCGGGGUGUAAACCGCUUUCGCUCAUGAAGGAGCUGUGUGUGACGGUAGUGGGUAAAGAAGCACCGGCUAACUACGUG
rnacentral:rRNA from 1 species